rnacentral:rRNA from 1 species
CGCCUUCAGAUUCAAUAUUGGAGGUCUGGUCUGCCCAGUGUAAUUAAUUAACGGCCGCGGUAUUCUGACUGUGCAAAGGUAGCAUAAUCACUUGCCCUUUAAAUGGGGGAAUGUAUGAAUGAUUAGACGAGGUUUUUACUGUCUCUUCCUUAUAAAUUGAGAUUACAAUACUUGUGAAAAUGCGGGUAAGGUAAUAAAGGACGAGAAGACCCUGUUGAGCUUUUAAGCUAAACUAUAGUACAGGUUAAGUUAAGUAAUAAUUUACAGUUAAAACGAGUAAUUUUUUGUAGGCUUUUUGGCUGGGGUGGCAAGCAAAGAUAUUAAGCUUUGUUGUAGUAUACAUUUUGUAUUUCUAGAUAAUAUAUAUCUAUAAAUAAUUAAAUUGAUCCGUUAAAAUAGAACGAUUAAAAGAAUAAGUUACCACAGGGAUAACAGCGUAAUUCUUUUUGAGAGCUCGAAUUGACAAAGGAGUUUGCGACCUCGAUGUUGGAUCAAGAUUCCUAGCGGUGUAGCAGCUGUUACGGGUUUGCCUGUUCGGCGAUUAAUAUCU